GCUGGGUGCAGUGGAGCAUACCUGUAAUCCCUGCAACUUGGGAGGCUGAAGCAGGAAGCCUGCAUGUUCAAGACAGCCUCAGCAACUUAGCAGGACCUUGCCUCAA
rnacentral:sRNA from 1 species